GGUCGUCUGGUCCGACAGGUAUGGCUGCACGCUGCUUCACCUCGCUGGUCGAGGUCUGUGUGCUGCUCUGGCCCCUCUGUAUGCGCUGCUGCGUUUGUUGGCUGUGGUAAACGCUGGUGGCUGCAUGGAGCCCUCUCUCCCCCUCCCUCCUCUCGUGUGAGUGUGUGUGUGCCCGCGCUGCUGAAAAGGUGCUAACUGUAGCCAGCUUAUCGGGCCGCUGCUGCUUUGUCUCCUGUUUUGUCUCCUGUUGUGUCUCCUGCUUGCCUCCAUCACGUCUGCCGUUUGUCUCUGCUGCUGCUUGUCCUCACGGCACGGUGGCACGCUGCGGUACUGUAAGCCGCUGCGCAGCUCUGCUUCCGCCGUAGGCACUGGUGCUCUGUUUCACGUCCGGAGCAGGACGGUUGCUCGUCUGCCCGUUGCGGGCCGAGACAUUAUUUUUAACUGGGGUUUGGUCCCCCGUAUUUUGAGUGAAUGAGUGAGUGUGGGUUAUAUUCUAUUAGUUUGUUUAUUUUUAUAUUGUUUGGGUUGAACCUGAUUUUGUUUUGUAUAAUUUAUUUGUUAAUUAGGUUAAUUUGAGAGAUUUUGUAUAUGUAAUUGGAUAAUUGUUUGGGGUUUGUUUUCUUUAGUAUUAAUUUCUUCUUUUGCUUUGUCUAUAUUUGAGUAUUUCAAUUGGGCAGUUAUUAGUUGUUAUAUUGUUAAGUUUAAACUUGUGAUCUGCCCAUUAAUUACAAUUUUUGUUAAAUUUUGAUUUACUGAUUUUGUUUGUUUCAUUGCAACCCCACUAAUUUGUUUUAUCAUUCCCCUUUUCAGUUGCUGGAGGCCGGUGGUGGCGGUGCUGGUGUUUGGUGGUGGUAUCCAUCUUUCCGUCUUGUCCGCUGUGUUCCUGGGAGUGGGUUGCUUCACUGAGUGUGUCUGCCACGUGUGCCUGGUGAUUUAAGUUGGUUUCUCUUUUUUUUUUGGUGGAUCCUUCCCCUUCACUAGUCCUUGUCCACUCACUAGGCCUCAGCCCUGAUUAGGUUCUUUCCC